rnacentral:lncRNA from 1 species
UUUCUGAAAAAUAAUGAUCAUUUAUUUAUCAUUUGAUUUUUAAAAUGUCCCUUUCCCCCACAGAUGAGGACAUUAUUGAGACUGAUUCAGAUACUGACUGCCCUGCUGAAGCCAGCUUCUACUUGCCUGCACUUCCAUCGGCAAGGAGUCUUAAAAGCAAAGGGAUAUUGAAUAACAAGUCAGAUCAAAGUAAACUCAGCAACUGUUGGGAUUUGGGAAAAAGAGUAUCAGAUGAUCAGCCCAUCUUGGAUUCCUCAAAGAAUCAAAUCCAAACUCAGGUCCUGCCUGAGAUGUUGCAGCCUUGGGGCACAUCAUCCAUUAUUGAUGAUCCCUGUCGAACUUUGGACUUGUCAAGUGUGGGCGCUCAGCCUUUUGUUAGGCUUGAGAAACCUUUGCUUUUACAACCAGGACAGAUGUCAUUGGAGCCAAUAGGUCUUUCCACUCGAGGCUUUGGACCAGGAGUUUCUUCUUUUCCCAGAGAAGUGUCACCUUUUAGAAGGAUGCUGUCAUAUGACUGCCGCGACAUGGACUCGCCGGGUGGGAUUUCUGCAGUUUUCUCUUCCUGUUCUGCCAGUUCAUCUCUGAUCAGAAACCAGCGUCACAGUAACUCCUGGCCUUGCUUGCGGUUCAGCCCGUAUCAAACCCCGUUAUCUUUCAGCUCUUGCCAUAACCCACAUACCGCCAGGCAGCCAGAGUGGACUCAAUCAAAACCUGAACUGUGCAAAUCUAACAGAGGAGACUCAAGCCAAGUGUUUGACCUUUAUAAUUACAAAACGAAUGCCAAACAGAGACCUGUUUCUCAUUUAAGAGGUCCUUCGAUGAACUGCAGCGCUACGGUCAGAUGGGUUGAUACCCAAUUCCACCCAUCUUAAAUUUCUUCAUUUUAUUGCUGUUUUAGCUCAGAUUUGUUUGCAUAAUUUUGAUCUCCUUGCAGUUAGUUAAUAAAUUAGCCAUCACCUACUUUGUCUACAAGGCUUUAUGUGUACUGAUAAUCCACAAAUCUCAAAGGAUGUGAAAACAUUUUUUUUGUCUUUUAAGUCAAAAUAAAGAUGUUUUUGAAGUUUUAGUCACAAAAUGUUUAUUGACUGCUCAUCCUCAUCAUACCCCUGCCAGGUAAGAUCAAUAAGAUUAUUAAUUAGACAGCCAUUUCCAUCCUAAGAAUUUAAAAGGAUUUGGGGGGUUGCAUUCCGUUGUCCCGUACGGAUCAGAGUAUGUCUGGAUUUUAGGGCUAAUCCUUUAAGUUAAUUUCACUAAAUGAAUCCGUUUCAUUUGUGGACUCCCAUAUGCUUUUUUGGCAAUGCCAGUGAACCUUUACGGCUGUGCUCCCUGGCCUCUUCAUCACUACGUCACUGUGAAGGCAUUAACCGUCAAAGGCCUUUUAAUGCAAUGGCAUGCCCUUGACCUAACUGCUUUGUUUUGGUUUUCUUGGUAACUAGUUUUGGCAGUAGACGUAAGUUGUUUGUCACAGUAAUCAAACACUGGACAAAUAUUAUUAAAAGUAAUUCAAAAUGACUUUUCUAUGCAAUUUCCUGCU